GGAGAGUUCGCCUAGUGGUCUAUGGCGCCGCCUUGGAAAGGCGGUUGGGCUUCACCGCCCUCGAGGGUUCAAAUCCCUCACUCUCCGCCA
rnacentral:tRNA from 1 species